GUGAGUAGUUCAGAGUUUGAUCCUGGCUCAGGAUGAACGCUGGCGGCGUGCUUAACACAUGCAAGUCGAACGAAGCACUUUGAUUUCUUCGGAUUGAUAAGUGACUGAGUGGCGGACGGGUGAGUAACGCGUGGGUAACCUGCCUCAUACAGGGGGAUAACAGUUAGAAAUGACUGCUAAUACCGCAUAAGCGCACGAUACCGCAUGGUAUUGUGUGAAAAACUCCGGUGGUAUGAGAUGGACCCGCGUCUGGUUAGCUAGUUGGUGGGGUAACGGCCCACCAAGGCGACGAUCAGUAGCCGACCUGAGAGGGUGACCGGCCACAUUGGGACUGAGACACGGCCCAA
rnacentral:rRNA from 1 species